GCCAGGCAUAUUGGCACAUGCCUGUAGUCCCAGCUACUCGGGAGGCUGAGGCUGGAGGAUCACUUGAGUCCAAGAGUUCUGGGCUGUAGUGCACUAUGCCAAUCUAGUGUCUGCACUAAGUUCGGCAUCAAUAUGGUAGCCGCCCAGGAGCGGGGGACCACCAGGUUGCCUAAGGAGGUAUGAACCAGCCCAGGUUGGAAAUGGAACAGGUCAAAACUUCUGUGCUGAUCAGUAGUGGGAUCAUGCCUGUGAAUAGCCACUUCACUCUAGCCUGGGCAACAUAGUGACACCCCAUCUCU
rnacentral:SRP_RNA from 1 species